rnacentral:rRNA from 1 species
AUUUNUGGGCCCAUACUGACNCUAAGGAGCGAAAGCAUGGGAAGCGNACAGGAUUAGAAACCCUUGGUAGUCCCAUCCCGUAAACGGUUGGGCGCUAGAUGUGGGGACCAUUCCACGGUUUCCGUGUAGUAGCUAACGCAUUAAGCGCCCCGCCUGGGGAGUACGGCCGCAAGGCUAAAACUCAAAGGAAUUGACGGGGGCCCGCACAAGCGGCGGAGCAUGCGGAUUAAUUCGAUGCAACGCGAAGAACCUUACCAAGGCUUGACAUAUACCGGAAACGUUCAGAAAUGUUCGCCCCGCAAGGUCGGUAUACAGGUGGUGCAUGGUUGUCGUCAGCUCGUGUCGUGAGAUGUUGGGUUAAGUCCCGCAACGAGCGCAACCCUCGUCGUAUGUUGCCAGCACGUUAUGGUGGGAACUCAUAUGAGACUGCCGGGGUCAACUCGGAGGAAGGUGGGGAUGACGUCAAAUCAUCAUGCCCCUUAUGUCUUGGGCUUCACGCAUGCUACAAUGGCUGGUACAAUGGGCUGCAAUACCGNGAGGUGGAGCGAAUCCCAAAAAGCCAGUCUCAGUUCGGAUUGGGGUNUGCAACUCGACCCCAUGAAGUCGGAGU